AUGCGAGACUGUUGGCAUCACAUCGAAAAGAAACUUGGUGACCAGUACCCGCCACUCCAUAGCGCAUGUUGCAAUACAAUAAGGGAUGCAAAAGACAUCCACUGCGUCUGUGAUCGGUUCACCGCUCACGAACUGACUUUGCUCAGUCUAGCCAAGUUUGCCAUGGCUACACAUGUAUGCGGCAAUGGGUUGCACACAGACACUCACUGUGCAGGUUAUCGUGUUCCGGAAAUAAAGCUACCACCUCCACCCGCGUCAAGUACCUAG
rnacentral:rRNA from 1 species